rnacentral:rRNA from 1 species
UGGCUCAGAACGAACGCUGGCGGCGUGCUUAACACAUGCAAGUCGAACGCGAAAGGGAUUUCGGUCCUGAGUAGAGUGGCGCACGGGUGAGUAACGCGUAAGUGAUCUACCCCUGUAUUUGGGAUAACUAUGGGAAACUGUAGCUAAUACCGGAUACGUUCAUGUAAUUGCGGUUAUGUGAAGAAAGAUGGCCUCUGACUUAAGCUAUUGUACAGGGAGGAGCUUGCGUACCAUUAGCUAGUUGGUAGGGUAAUGGCCUACCAAGGCAACGAUGGUUAGCGGGUCUGAGAGGAUGAUCCGCCACACUGGAACUGAAACACGGACCAGACUCCUACGGGAGGCAGCAGUGAGGAAUAUUGCGCAAUGGGGGCAACCCUGACGCAGCGACGCCGCGUGGAUGAUGAAGGCCUUCGGGUCGUAAAAUCCUGUCGGGUGGGAAGAAGUGUUAUGUGGCUAAUAUCCAUGUAA